rnacentral:misc_RNA from 1 species
AGGAAAGUAAAGUCGUAACAAGGUCUCCGUAGGUGAACCUGGGGAGGGAUCAUUACACAAUAACCAGGCGGGCUGGACACCCCCCGCUGGGCACUGCUUCACGGCGUGCGCGGCGGGGCCGGCCCUGCUGAAUUAUUCACCCGUGUCUUUUGCGUACUUCUUGUUUCCUGGGUGGGCUCGCCCGCCCUCAGGACCAACCACAAACCUUUUGCAAUAGCAAUCAGCGUCAGUAACAACGUAAUUAAUUACAACUUUCAACAACGGAUCUCUUGGUUCUGGCAUCGAUGAAGAACGCAGCGAAAUGCGAUACGUAGUGUGAAUUGCAGAAUUCAGUGAAUCAUCGAAUCUUUGAACGCACAUUGCGCCCUUUGGUAUUCCAAAGGGCAUGCCUGUUCGAGCGUCAUUUGUACCCUCAAGCUUUGCUUGGUGUUGGGCGUCUUUUGUCUCCAGUUCGCUGGAGACUCGCCUUAAAGUCAUUGGCAGCCGGCCUACUGGUUUCGGAGCGCAGCACAAGUCCCGCUCUUCGCCAGCCAAGGUCAGCGUCCAGCAAGCC